rnacentral:rRNA from 1 species
GCCUGGGGAGUACGGCCGCAAGGCUAAAACUCAAAGGAAUUGACGGGGGCCCGCACAAGCAGCGGAGCGUGUGGUUUAAUUCGAGGCAACGCRAAGAACCUUACCAGGGUUUGACAUGGUGGUGGUAGGGAGACGAAAGUCGACUGACUUCGGGGAGCCAACACAGGUGCUGCAUGGCUGUUGUUAGUUCGUGCCGUGAGGUGUUAGGUUAAGUCCUGUAACGAGCGCAACCCACGUCGUUAGUUAUACGUGUCUAACGAGACCGCCGGUGAUAAGCCGGAGGAAGGUGUGGAUGACGUCAAGUCAGCAUGGCCUUUAUAUCCUGGGCGACACACACGCUACAAUGGCCGGUACAAUGGGCAGCGAAGUCGCGAGCGGAGCCAAUCCCUUAAAGCCGGUCACAGUUCGGAUUGCAGGCUGCAACUCGCCUGCAUGAAGUUGGAAUUGCUAGUAAUCGCGGAUCACGUACGCCGCGGUGAAUACGUUCCUGAGCCUUGUACACACCGCCCGUCAAGUCAUGGAAGCCGUCAGCGCCCGAAGUCGCCGGAAAUCACCGGUGCCCACGGCGAGGAUGGUGACUGGGACUAAGUCGUAACAAGGUAGCCAAGGCGAAUUCCAGCACACUGGCGYCGUUA